rnacentral:ncRNA from 2 species
AGAUAAACAACAAAAUAUGAUCGUAUAACGCUGGGAAUAAGGCCUGGAAGUCUCUACCGAAACACCGUAAAUGUUUCGACUACGAUCCGUAAUAGAAGAUUA